rnacentral:snRNA from 1 species
GGAUGUGAGUGUGAUCUGGCUGCAACAUCACCCCAUUGAUCGCCAAGGUUGAUUCGGCUGAUCUGGCUGUCUAGGUGGAUGUCCCCUUUCUCCCUCACCACUCAAAGAGGACCACAAGCCCCCUAGAGGAGGAUCUUAUAUGAGUAGCUGUGCUCCCCCGAUACAACCUCCAGACAAGCUCUCAAAACAGUGAGGAACAAAAACAAAGUUGUUAAAUCCAGGCAGAGGAGGACGGCUU